rnacentral:rRNA from 1 species
UAAGCCGUUGAAGGUGUGUCGUGAGGCAUGCUGGAGGUAUCAGAAGUGCGAAUGCUGACAUAAGUAACGAUAAAGCGGGUGAAAAGCCCGCUCGCCGGAAGACCAAGGGUUCCUGUCCAACGUUAAUCGGGGCAGGGUGAGUCGACCCCUAAGGCGAGGCCGAAAGGCGUAGUCGAUGGGAAACGGGUUAAUAUUCCCGUACUUGGUGUUACUGCGAAGGGGGGACGGAGAAGGCUAUGUUGGCCGGGCGACGGUUGUCCCGGUUUAAGCGUGCAGGUGUGUGUUCCAGGUAAAUCCGGUUCACUUUAACACUGAGGCGUGACGACGAGGCACCACGGUGCUGAAGCAACAAAUGCCCUGCUUCCAGGAAAAGCCUCUAAGCCUCAGGUAACAUCAAAUCGUACCCCAAACCGACACAGGUGGUCAGGUAGAGAAUACCAAGGCGCUUGAGAGAACUCGGGUGAAGGAACUAGGCAAAAUGGUGCCGUAACUUCGGGAGAAGGCACGCUGACACGUAGGUGAAGUGGUUUACCCAUGGAGCUGAAGUCAGUCGAAGAUACCAGCUGGCUGCAACUGUUUAUUAAAAACACAGCACUGUGCAAACACGAAAGUGGACGUAUACGGUGUGACGCCUGCCCGGUGCCGGAAGGUUAAUUGAUGGGGUCAGCGCAAGCGAAGCUCCUGAUCGAAGCCCCGGUAAACGGCGGCCGUAACUAUAACGGUCCUAAGGUAGCGAAAUUCCUUGUCGGGUAAGUUCCGACCUGCACGAAUGGCGUAAUGAUGGCCAGGCUGUCUCCACCCGGGACUCAGUGAAAUUGAACUCGCUGUGAAGAUGCAGUGUACCCGCGGCAAGACGGAAAGACCCCGUGAACCUUUACUAUAGCUUGACACUGAACACUGGUCCUUGAUGUGCAGGAUAGGUGGGAGGCUUUGAAGUGUGGACGCCAGUCUGCACGGAGCCAUCCUUGAAAUACCACCCUUUAAUGGCUGGUGUUCUAACGUGGGCCCGUGAACCGGGUUGCGGACAGUGUCUGGUGGGUAGUUUGACUGGGGCGGUCUCCUCCUAAAGAGUAACGGAGGAGCACGAAGGUUGGCUAAUCCUGGUCGGACAUCAGGAGGUUAGUGCAAUGGCAUAAGCCAGCUUGACUGCGAGCGUGACGGCGCGAGCAGGUGCGAAAGCAGGUCAUAGUGAUCCGGUGGUUCUGAAUGGAAGGGCCAUCGCUCAACGGAUAAAAGGUACUCCGGGGAUAACAGGCUGAUACCGCCCAAGAGUUCAUAUCGACGGCGGUGUUUGGCACCUCGAUGUCGGCUCAUCACAUCCUGGGGCUGAAGUAGGUCCCAAGGGUAUGGCUGUUCGCCAUUUAAAGUGGUACGCGAGCUGGGUUUAGAACGUCGUGAGACAGUUCGGUCCCUAUCUGCCGUGGGCGCUGGAAGAUUGAGGGGGGCUGCUCCUAGUACGAGAGGACCGGAGUGGACGCAUCACUGGUGUUCGGGUUGUCAUGCCAAUGGCACUGCCCGGUAGCUACAUGCGGAAGAGAUAAGUGCUGAAAGCAUCUAAGCACGAAACUUGCCCCGAGAUGAAUCUUCCCUGAGCCUUUAAGGCUCCUGAAGGAACGUUGAAGACGACGACGUUGAUAGGCCGGGUGUGUAAGCGCAGCGAUGCGUUGAGCUAACCGGUACUAAUGAACCGUGAGGCUUAACCUUACAACGCCGAAG